rnacentral:pre_miRNA from 1 species
AGUGGGAUGGCUGGGUCAAAUGGUGGUUCUAUUCCAAGUUUUCUAAGGAAUCUCCAUACUGCUUUCCAGAUUGGCUGCACCCAUUUGCAAACCCCAGCAAU